rnacentral:lncRNA from 1 species
CCUGACCAGAUGCAGUUUAGAGGGGCGGUGACGUGCUUAAAGUCUGAGGUCAUGGGUUUGCCCACACAGAAGUGCAAUAACAGGACAGGCACGGCUUAAAGUGAAACGGUGAAACUUCCUCCAAAAGUAUUUGCAAACUCAGCUGCCAUUCCACAGAAAAGGCCCCCAGGAGCAACAUGGUUGUGUGAGUAAGUGGAAGUUUACCACUAAAUAUGUUCUUCUGGGGAACUAAUGAGAUCUGCGUUCCUACAGAUGUGCCCUGUUGCCUCUUUCUCUCCUUCCCGUGUCAGACCACCUCCUACACCAACAUUAAGCCCUCGUUCUCACCGAGCAAGAAGCACCAUCCGCCCUGGGCAGCAAUAAAAAAAAAUGGCGGUAUCAGUCCAACGGACAAUAACAGGAAGGCUUUGAUUUU